CCUACGGGAGGCAGCAGUGGGGAAUUUUCCGCAAUGGGCGAAAGCCUGACGGAGCAAUACCGCGUGAGGGAGGAAGGCUCUUGGGUUGUAAACCUCUUUUCUCAGGGAAGAAUAWUGACGGUACCUGAGGAAUAAGCAUCGGCUAACUCCGUGCCAGCAGCCGCGGUAAUACGGAGGAUGCAAGCGUUAUCCGGAAUUAUUGGGCGUAAAGCGUCUGUAGGKGGAUAUUCAAGUCUGCUGUCAAAUCCCGGGGCUCAACCCUGGAAAGGCGGUGGAAACUGAAAAUCUAGAGUGCGGUAGGGGCAGARGGAAUUCCCAGUGUAGCGGUGAAAUGCGUAGAGAUUGGGAAGAACACCGGUGGCGAAAGCGCUCUGCUGGGCCUGCACUGACACUAAGGGACGAAAGCUAGGGGAGCGAAUGGGAUUAGAUACCCCAGUAGUCCUAGCCGUAAACGAUGGACACUAGGUGUUGCGCGUAUCGACCCGUGCAGUGCCGUAGCCAACGCGUUAAGUGUCCCGCCUGGGGAGUACGCUCGCAAGAGUGAAACUCAAAUG
rnacentral:rRNA from 1 species